UACGUAGGGUGCGAGCGUUGUCCGGAUUUAUUGGGCGUAAAGGGCUCGUAGGCGGCUUGUCACGUCGGAUGUGAAAGCCCGGGGCUUAACCCCGGGUCUGCAUUCGAUACGGGCAGGCUAGAGUUCGGUAGGGGAGAUCGGAAUUCCUGGUGUAGCGGUGAAAUGCGCAGAUAUCAGGAGGAACACCGGUGGCGAAGGCGGAUCUCUGGGCCGAUACUGACGCUGAGGAGCGAAAGCGUGGGGAGCGAACAGG
rnacentral:rRNA from 1 species